CGGACGGGUGAGUAAUGUCUGGGAAACUGCCCGAUGAGGGGGGAUAACUACUGGAAACGGUAGCUAAUACCGCAUAACGUCGCAAGACCAAAGAGGGGGACCUUAGGGCCUCUUGCCAUCGGAUGUGCCCAGAUGGGAUUAGCUAGUAGGUGGGGUAACGGCUCACCUAGGCGACGAUCCCUAGCUGGUCUGAGAGGAUGACCAGCCACACUGGAACUGAGACACGGUCCAG
rnacentral:rRNA from 1 species